GAUGAACGCUGGCGGCGUGCCUAAUACAUGCAAGUCGAGCGAACGGACGAGAAGCUUGCUUCUCUGAUGUUAGCGGCGGACGGGUGAGUAACACGUGGAUAACCUACCUAUAAGACUGGGAUAACUUCGGGAAACCGGAGCUAAUACCGGAUAAUAUUUUGAACCGCAUGGUUCAAAAGUGAAAGACGGUCUUGCUGUCACUUAUAGAUGGAUCCGCGCUGCAUUAGCUAGUUGGUAAGGUAACGGCUUACCAAGGCAACGAUGCAUAGCCGACCUGAGAGGGUGAUCGGCCACACUGGAACUGAGACACGGUCCAGGCUCCUACGGGAGGCAGCAGUAGGGAAUCUUCCGCAAUGGGCGAAAGCCUGACGGAGCAACGCCGCGUGAGUGAUGAAGGUCUUCGGAUCGUAAAACUCUGUUAUUAGGGAGGAACAUAUGUGUAAGUAACUGUGCACAUCUUGACGGUACCUAAUCAGAAAGCCACGGCUAACUACGUG
rnacentral:rRNA from 1 species